CCUACGGGGGGCUGCAGUGGGGAAUUUUGGACAAUGGGGGCAACCCUGAUCCAGCCAUUCCGCGUGAGUGAAGAAGGCCUUCGGGUUGUAAAGCUCUUUCGGCAGGAACGAAACGGUGAGCUCUAACAUAGCUCGCUAAUGACGGUACCUGAAGAAGAAGCACCGGCUAACUACGUGCCAGCAGCCGCGGUAAUACGUAGGGUGCGAGCGUUAAUCGGAAUUACUGGGCGUAAAGCGUGCGCAGGCGGUUGUGUAAGACAGGUGUGAAAUCCCCGGGCUUAACCUGGGAACUGCGCUUGUGACUGCACGGCUAGAGUAUGGCAGAGGGGGGUGGAAUUCCACGUGUAGCAGUGAAAUGCGUAGAGAUGUGGAGGAACACCGAUGGCGAAGGCAGCCCCCUGGGCCAAUACUGACGCUCAUGCACGAAAGCGUGGGGAGCAAACAGGAUUAGAUACCCUGGUAGUC
rnacentral:rRNA from 1 species